rnacentral:tRNA from 1 species
GUCUGGCUGGCUCAGUCGGUAGCGCGUGUGACUCUUCAUCUCAAGGUUGUGAGUUCAAGCCCCACAUUGGACA